rnacentral:lncRNA from 1 species
CGACGUGUUUCCCUGAGUUCUGGGAGCUGCUCUAGCAAAUUAACCGAACCCGAGGAAGAAGUCAUGGGAACCUCUGAUCUACAGCCGGUUGGUUGGAAGCCCGGGUCACAACCCGGACCAAGAUGGCGUCUGAACUGGGUGGUGGACAUCAGAUCUGAGGAGCGACAGACGUGUACCAAGAAGCUCUCGCAGGAAAUGCUCAUCCCAUGCCCACCAGGAACUCUGAGAACCGCUGACGUCACUGACGAUUUCAGUUCAUUGAGGGGGGCCCCGAGAACUCAUGCAGGAGUCUUGCCCUGCCCUCGCUCCAGCGCAGUCAACUCCACAUCCUCCGAAACCUCACUGUCUUCUGAGGAUGCUACCUCCCUUGCAAACUUCACGGGUGGCCGUUUUUUAUCUCACCCCCAAGGAAGGCAUUUGGAGACAUCCAGCGUAUCUUCUCCUUGCCGACCCCAGGUCUUCUGAGCUCAUGCCAUCAGCCCACAGACUAUCCCGCCCCCCCUUAUUUACAGGGCCCAUCUCCCCACCACUACUCCUGUCAUUUUUCUUGGCAAUGAUGCAUCAAAAACCCUGGAUUCUCACUUCUGACCUCCUCUCCCCAGCCACCUUUUCACUACUCAACCAGGCACUCCCAUGGCCAUACCCUGUAUCUUGUCAUUACCAAUAUCUAAACUUCCCCCAAACCUCAAUCUCAAGCAUCCUAGAUCCUGACCACCACGUCCUACUCUCCAGCUUGUUCCCUCUGGUAUCCACGCU